CUCGUAGCGGGCCGGCGUGCUGAGGCUCUGCCGCACCCCGUAGCGCCCCUUGAAGCCGUGGGACCACUCGCCGCGGUACAUCCACCUGCCUUUCGUCUCCACGCCCAGCCCGUGGCGUUUGCCCUGCGCCCAGUAGCCCAGAUUUUCCAGGUGCCUGAGGAGGUCCAAGACCUGAUUGAAGCUUUUCUUAUUGUUUGGAGCUCUCACGUCAGGUAAGAAUUGGGAUUGUUUCACGUUUUUUAGUGAUGUGCAAAGCAUCUCCCUCUCCUGCCUAGAUGUGUAUUUUGUGGCUUUGCUUUGUUUUAAAUUGUAGGAAUGUCAUACCUUUAAGGUCUUAAUUACUCUGGUAAUUUUCAUGUAAAUUAGCUAAUGAGUUAAAUAACUUUCAUACAUGUUGCUUUAAUACUGUAGGAAAAAAAAGUUCAGCAGCCUUACUCACUGCUCACUGAGCUGCCAUUUUUCUGAAUACCUCUACUGAGAGCCACUUACAUCUUCCCAGAGAUCGAGGCCUUUUGCCAUGCUUUAGGCCGCCUAUUCAUUGAAAAUCCUCCCUCAUUAGUUAGCAAUUACAUCGCCAGUGAUUACAGACCUUCACGAGAGGUUUCAGGGAUUUUUUCAUCAGACAGACAGUCCCAGCUCUGCAGUUUCCAUCUCCUGCAGCACGACUCGGGUGGAGGAGACCAGAGCUCUGUGGAUCAUGCUGGGCCACCUGUGCAACGGUGAGUGCACCUCAAGAAGGCACCCAUCCCAACUUUUGUAGGGGCUGCAGUUCUCCAGCUGCUCCCUGGACCUUGCAGUUCCUUAUGAUCUCCCUUGAUUUUAUCUGGCAGUUUUUAUCAGACGUAGGGAUGAGGUCUGUCUGCAUUCAUACCUAAUUCUGUCUUAACAUGAAGUCUGUCUUAUGAAUUUCUUUCUUUUUUCUUCUUAGAAAAAUUGAAGGGUUGUUGUUUUUUUUUUUUUUUAAAAAGUGAUAAGUUAGUGUUAAAAUAGCAAGUAGAUAUGAUAUUUCUAAUUUUAAAAGACCUGUUGGUGGCCCCAGCUAUUAGCAUGCACUCUGGUUAUGCCGUGCUGGAGGAGAACAAAACAGCUGUUGCAUUUCACCAAUGAACUGGUGUUGGUGCUUCUUAUACCUUGGGUAGUUGAUAAACUUUAUGUAAAAAUCUGUUCUUCUGAGUGAAUCCAUUUGUGAAAUGGUUUGAAAAUCAUUGUCAUUCUAAAUAUGAGUUAUAGGCACAACCUUGGUGGUUUUUAUUUGGUUUCUUUUUUUUUGGAUGGAGAUAAUGGAGGAAACACAGAAAAUGCUACCAGAGAUGCAAAAGCUGAGCUUUUUGUUCUUUGAUGGUGAAGCUAAUAUGGAUAUUUUUAUGCACAGUAUAGUCUCUUUUGAGAUUUGUUUCUAUUAACACAGUCCUCAGUAAAGGAAUUGAGCUUUAGAGGACACUACCACCAGGCUAAGCAGGCUGCGCUGCAAAGACCUUUAAUAGAAAGCCACUCCCUCAAUCUGCUUAAACUUUGGUGAGGAUAAUACGGCUUACUCUAACUGAUUUUUGAUAAAACAGUAAAAGACAAACAGACGCUUAUUAUGCCAGAGUUGAUAAAUGCACCGUAUUGAUAACAUUUCUUGUGCUUAUCCAGGAAUAUUUGUCCUGGAGGAAAAAAUUGUUCUCACCACACCUAACAUGCAAGUUAAACACCUAAACAUACAUUGAUGUUUAAUUUUACAUGAAAAAAAUAUAGCAAGGGUUAGUGUAUCAUAAUCAGCCUAACCAAUGAAUUAAAACUCCCAGCUGGUAUGUGAUUUCAUUUAUUCUUAGUUUGCUUCUGUUCUGUUGGCUUUUUUAAGUGCUGGUAACAUAAUGUCAUGAUGUUUUUCUAUGAUGAAGAAACCUGUUCACCAUGUGGAUUACACUAUUAGCCCCUUCUGCAUCCUGAAAACUGGCUUUCUUAGCAAAUACACUUCAUGUAAUAUUGCAUUGCUGCAAAAUAGUUUUCUAUUUGUCUGCUGAAAUUUCAGCUUAAAGAUCAGAUUCUGCUCUUUGGAAGACAUAACCACCAAAGCCGAAUUUUGAAUGGUGCUCUCUGUAUUCUGCAGGUGCAGUACAGUUUUUAUGCUCUUCUUUUGGUGAAGUCACAUGCAUUCGUGUUUGCAGCUUGGCAUGUGAAUACAUUAUGUAUAUCUGUGCUUCUGGCAGGUACGAGAUGGACUUUGGACAAAUUAGUAUUUGCAUUAUUUCUUUUCUGUGUGAUUGGGAGGGUUUCGAGCCUUAGUUUUGUUUAAAAGUAACUUUUUGGGUUUUUUUAGUAGAAAACACCUCAUGCUAGUUGUGGAGUCUAAAAGAGGUUUCCUAAUGUUCUUUAUCAAAGCAUCAUCCUUUAGUAACUGCAGUUGUCAUAGUAAACAAAGUCUUUUUAUGUAGAAGUUCAUGAUCUUGUUGUAAUAGGUCCUUUAUGAAAAAGUAGCCAUUAUUUGAGUUUUUCUGACCCAACUAUACUGUGUAUUCAGCAUGUAACUGAAAUUUAAUCUAAGAUUCAUACAGAAGAUAAAAAUAUCCCUUCUCUGAUGAUGUGUGCUCUAAUCACGGAACGUGUAUCUUCCUAGUAAUACAGAGUGUUCGAAAAACAAUUAUAUGAUGUUCUGUCAUGUCUGAAUGCAUAAUAAAUGUAACUGACUUAUAGAAUAAUCAACUGUAUUCAGUUAGGCAUGUAUUUAUCAUUAAAUCAUUCACUUGUAGGUAUGCCUAAAACCAGCUGUGCUAUGAAGUCCAUGGUAGAGAUCACCUUAGUUCAUGUUUUAGUUAUUAAUUUUAAAAUUUGGCAAUGUCAUUAACCUGCAUGAUAUUUGGGUAUGUUAGGUACAAAGUUUAUUUCAGUUGAUUUGAGAACUAAAAUUAAUUUUGAAAUUUACUUGUUUCAUAUGACAGCAUUGCAAAAGUUUUGUUAAUUCACCCACAGUUAACUAUGUGGUAUUUUUGCUUAUAUGAGGUUCUGCCAUGAAAACAAAAAAUGUAUAUAGAGCUGGAGGACUGCAGUUCUGUGAUACGGCAUGCUAAAGUUAGAAGUAGGGGGUUGCAGUUUUGUUUUCAUGUGUAAAGGGAUGUGUGUUUUGUUUUGUGUAAGUUUGAGACUGCAGUUUUUGUCUAACUAAUGGCACUUUUAAUGAGAUUUGAUUUUUAACAGCUGGUUGCUCAGCAUAUUUGGAAAAUUGAGCCCAAUGAAAUAUUUUUAAAAUGUCAGCUGUUUUUGAAAAUUCAUGGUAUCAGGGUUUUCCUACCCAAAAUUUCAGUAUCCAGAAAGUGGAUGAAUUGGGCACUAUGCAACUUUGUGAUUCUCCAGUUUUAGUGAUGCAAAUUUAUUUGUAUAGGCUUAAGAGAAGAAAAAAAAAUUGUGAUCUUUUCUGUGCCAUAUGGUGUCAGUGGCAUGUUUCUAGAUUUUUUUUUUUUUAAAUAUAUUAAUAUCGGCAAAAUGAUAACAUUUGACGUGUGAAAAAUGUGCAUGUCAUUUUAAUCUGAAAUUUUGUUGGUGGGUUUUUUUUCCUCCUUUCUAUUACAAAGUGUAGUACAGAUCUUGUGCUAGGCUGGGUUUAAUCAAUCACUGGAAGUGCCUGGUGCAUUCUGCUGGCUACUGAGUGAGUUUCAGUUUGUAUACCUAAGCUACUUGCCUGAUUUUGGAAGAGGUGAUCCUAUGUGCACGAUUGCUUCGAAAAAUGCAGUGGUUUUCCCCCCUGUUUUCACACGUUUUGGGAGACACAGCUGCUGUCCACGUUUAGAGGUGCUGUGUAGAGCUGGAGCUACUGUGUUGCCACCAACCUGAGUUAAGGUUUAAUUUAUGGGGACAAAUAGGCUUGUGCCUCCAUACUAAUUUGAAUUAUUUUAUAUAGUAAUACUUUUCUUUAUCUUCUUAUGGUUUGAUUUUUUUCUUUUUUAAAUGUAACCUAAGCGUCUAAUCUACCUAGACUACAAAAUGUUUAACAGGAUUAUUGAAAUAAGCAUGUGUGUGAGUAUGAUGAAGGUGUUAAAAUGGAAGUCUUCAAUAUACAAGUAAGCUUGCUACCAGUAAAUUUUAUUUCAUCCUGUCAUGCUUGGAGUGAGUGUUGAAAGACAAACGGGCAAGCGCUGCUCAGCCAGAGGGGAGAAGCACGUCAUACAGCCCCCAGAAUAGCAUCGGCAGUAAAUAUGGUCAUGCUGUUCUUCCCCGAGAUAGACCCAGAUCACAUUCGUAGCACCCACCAGGUCUGCUGCUUACCAGACAUUCAGGGCCUUUGAUGAAACAUUUACAAAUGCAGCUGCAGUUCAGAGGGAUCUUCUGCCGGCAGUGAAGAAGCUGACAUCAAGAAAACGGGAGGAAAUGAGAUCACAAGCCAGGGAGUUCAAACAAAAUGCAAUUUAGGGGGAAUACAAAGUUAAUCACCGUAUUAAAACACUGCUCCAAGAUAUGAACCAUGUUCUUGUUAGACUCCCUUUUCAUGUUAACUUGAUUAUGUUUUCCAGUGACUUAGAACCACUAAAGCCUGAAGCUUUUGUAGAGGAGGAAAGGUGGACUGAAAAAUAGGUCUUUGUUCAACUGUCUUAGGUCACACAUAAUGUCAAAACUGGAAUUAAAAUGUAUUAUAAAAUGAA